UACNNGACAGAAACGUCUUAUAUUGAUAUUUCUUGUCACUACCUCCCUGUGUCAGGAUUGGGUAAUUUACGCGCCUGCUGCCUUCCUUAGAUGUGGUAGCCGUUUCUCAGGCUCCCUCUCCGGAAUCGAACCCUAAUUCUCCGUUACCCGUCAAAGCCACGGUAGGCCAAUAUCCUACCGUCGGAAGCUGAUAGGUCAGAAACUUGAUAGCCUCAUCGACUCUUGCGAGUCGAUUCGCCAGAACACUAUGAAUCAACGAAAACCANNCAGAGCCUGGGUUGGUUCGGUAUCUAAUAAGCGCAACCCUUCAAGAAGUCGGGUUUUUAAGCAUGUAUUAGCUCUAGAAUUACCAUGGGUAUCCAAGGAAUCACUGACCGGCCAGGGAAUAAUAACUGUUAUAAUGAGCCAUUCACAGUUUCGCAGUACAGAACUUAUACUUAGACAUGCAUGGCUUAAUCUUUGAGACAAGCAUAUGACUACUGGCAGGAUCAACCAG
rnacentral:rRNA from 1 species